rnacentral:rRNA from 1 species
CCUACGGGGGGCAGCAGUGAGGAAUAUUGGUCAAUGGACGAGAGUCUGAACCAGCCAAGUAGCGUGAAGGAUGACUGCCCUAUGGGUUGUAAACUUCUUUUAUAUGGGAAUAAAAUGUUCCACGUGUGGGAUUUUGUAUGUACCAUAUGAAUAAGGAUCGGCUAACUCCGUGCCAGCAGCCGCGGUAAUACGGCGGGUCCGAGCGUUAUCCGGAUUUAUUGGGUUUAAAGGGAGCGUAGGUGGAUUGUUAAGUCAGUUGUGAAAGUUUGCGGCUCAACCGUAAAAUUGCAGUUGAAACUGGCAGUCUUGAGUGCAGUAGAGGUGGGUGGAAGUCGUGGUGUAGCGGUGAAAUGCUUAGAUAUCACGAAGAACUCCGAUUGCGAAGGCAGUUCACUGGACUGCAACUGACACUGAGGCUCGAAAGUGUGGGUAUCAAACAGGAUUAGAUACCCGAGUAGUC